AGCGCCGUGGUGUAGCUGGCCAAGCAUGCAGGGCUUUGGACCCUGAGACCCAGGUUCGAAUCCUGGCGGCGCUA
rnacentral:tRNA from 2 species